AUGGAGGAGGCGGCAGCCGGGGCCGGCGAGGAGGAGGUGUACUGCGCGGUGGGGAAGGCGAACCUGCGGUGGGUGCUGGCCAACUUCUCCGGCCGCCGCCUGGUGCUUGCCCACGUCCACCGCCCGCCGCACCGCAUCAACACGAUGGGGGCGUGGGUGCCGGUGAGCCAGGUGGGAGCAGCCUUGGUGGCCGCGUGCAGGAAGUGGGAGGAGGACGAGGCCAGCGACGCCCUCGACCAGCUCAGCCGCAUCUGCAAAGCCCACCGGGUCCUCGCGCGCAAGCUCAUCGUGUCCGGCGACGACGUGGCGGGUGCGCUGGCGCAGCUCGUCGCCGACCAUGGUGUCAGCGAGCUCGUCAUGGGCGCCACCGCCGACCGGGCCUACUCGAGGAAGAUGCGGGCGCCCAAGUCCAAGAAGGCGGCCGCCGUGCAGCUCAAGGCCAACCCCUCCUGCAGGAUCUGGUUCGUCUGCAAAGGAAAGCUCAUCUGCACCAGAGAGGCCAGUGGAGAGUGGCUAAUAAGCAGAGGAGAGCCAUCCAUGGCGAGCACCAGCCCACGACCAACCGCCUCCGACUGCUCGACAUUGGCAUCCUCGUCGCACCACCACGGCGAUGGCGCCGCCGAGCCAGUCGGCGCCCACGAUUCGCCCACGCCCUCACACCAUGGUUCUGGUGACGCGAGGGAGAUGGACGAUGCGUUGGCGGAGAAGCUCAAGGACGAAGAGACUCGACCGCAACCGGAAGCUGAUGUGCAAUCCAUGCCCGUGACAGAUGGUGAUCAAGGUGUCAGUGUGUUGCGGUUCGGUUUACCGGAGCUGGAGGAGGCGACAGGCCGUUUCGACGAGUCCGCCAGGAUCGGCAGUGCCGGCAAUGGUCGCACCGGCGUGUACAGAGGAAGCCUGCGCGGCAUGAGCGUUGCCGUCAGUGUCAUCUCCCCGGAUGCCGCCGUUGGCGAGACACGGUUCGCUCGCGAGGCCGACGCUAUCGGCAAGGUGGGGCUCCCAGGCAUCGUGGCGUUCGUCGGCGCGUGCGCGGAGGCGCGCGCUGUGGUGCACGAGCUCGUGCGGGCGGUAGCCUGGAGGGCCGCCUCACUCAAGAACGCGACGGGACGCCGCCGCUGCCGUGGAGAGCGCGAUGCGCCGUGGCGUACCAGGUAUUGUCUGUUCUGGCAUUCCUUCUUUCACUCGUCAGCGAAGACGGUGACGUCCGCCCGACGAACGUCCUCCUGCUCGACGACGAUGAGGAGGUGCACCGCCCCUCCGGCAGCAAGCUCGCCGGCGUCGGCAUGCGUGGGCUCGUGUCGGAGCAGCAGCAGGCCGGCCGCGAGGCGCUGGCGUACGUGGACCCGCGGUACGUUGCGAUGGGGGAGCCCACCCCGCAGUGGGACGUGCACGGCCUGGGCCUGGUGCUCCUGCGGCUGGUCACGGGCAUGA
rnacentral:rRNA from 1 species